rnacentral:lncRNA from 1 species
GAAGUGUCUACCACGUGUUCGAGAGGGCUCUCUAUCCCUAGGUUGAGUGUAUAGUUAAAGCCAUUCUGUUUAAUAUUUAAAAUGAUAUUUUCUAGUGAGUUUUCAUAGAGUGGAAUGAUCAAAGAGAGCUGAUCUACAUGAGUCUCAACAUCUUGGAGCUUACAUCUACAAGGUGAGGCACUUAACCUUCAUGCUUACCUGCUGUCUCUGGGCUGAGAAGCCUCAGGCCUGGUGCCCCAUGCACUUCUCAGGCCAUGCCUGCUGCACUGUCUCUUCACCUCAAAGCUGAGCAAGGCCA